CAGCAGCCGCGGUAAUGCGAAGGGUGCAAGCGUUAAUCGGAAUUACUGGGCGUAAAGCGUGCGUAGGCGGUGAGUUAAGUCUGCUGUGAAAUCCCCGGGCUCAACCUGGGAAUGGCAGUGGAUACUGGCUCGCUAGAGUGUGUCAGAGGAUGGUGGAAUUCCCGGUGUAGCGGUGAAAUGCGUAGAGAUCGGGAGGAACAUCAGUGGCGAAGGCGGCCAUCUGGGACAACACUGACGCUGAGGCACGAAAGCGUGGGGAGCAAACAGGAUUAGAUACCCCGGUAGUCCCUGUCUCUUAUAA
rnacentral:rRNA from 1 species